AUAUGUGUUUGACUGCCACAUUCUCUCCUAAUAGUAGGUUUUAGUGGCUGUGCUUAUGGGAUAGAGUAAAAUUGCCAUGAUCUGAGGGGGGAGGGUCUGUUCAUGCCCUCCCCCUGUAUGAAAUGGCUGAACAGGGAAAA